rnacentral:rRNA from 1 species
GACAAGAAAUAACAACACUGGAAAUUUCAUUUCUAGUGAUUGGAAUGAUGGGAAUCCAAACCCCUUUCAGAGUAACAAUUGGAGGGCAAGUCUGGUGCCAGCAGCCGCGGUAAUUCCAGCUCCAAUAGCGUAUAUUAAAGUUGUUGCAGUUAAAAAGCUCGUAGUUGGAUAUCUGCUGGGAGCAAUCAGUCCGCCCUUUUUAUAGGGGUGUGCACUUGAUGAAUUCUGGCAUGUUUUUAUCUUUCCUAAUGAUAAUGAUUAGGUUAAUUCCUAAUAAUAAUUAUUAUUGGGAUAGAUAGACCGUUACUUUGAGAAAAUUAGAGUGUUUAAUGCAGGCUGUUUUAUGCCUUGAAUACUGCAGCAUGGAAUAACAAUAUAGGAUUUCGGUUCUAUUUUGUUGGUUUUUAGGACUGGAAUAAUGGUUAAUAGGGACAGUUGGGGGCAUUCGUAUUUAACUGUCAGAGGUGAAAUUCUUAGAUUUGUUAAAGACGAACUAAUGCGAAAGCAUUUGCCAAAGAUGUUUUCAUUAAUCAAGAACGAAAGUUAGGGGCUCGAAGACGAUCAGAUACCGUCGUAGUCUUAAC